rnacentral:rRNA from 1 species
CGCGGUCACUCCUACGGGGAGGCAGCAGUAGGGAAUCUUCCACAAUGGGCGCAAGCCUGAUGGAGCAACACCGCGUGAGUGAAGAAGGGUUUCGGCUCGUAAAGCUCUGUUGUUUAAAGAAGAACACGUAUGAGAGUAACUGUUCAUACGUUGACGGUAUUUAACCAGAAAGUCACGGCUAACUACGUGCCAGCAGCCGCGGUAAUACGUAGGUGGCAAGCGUUAUCCGGAUUUAUUGGGCGUAAAGAGAGUGCAGGCGGUUUCUAAGUCUGAUGUGAAAGCCUUCGGCUUAACCGGAGAAGUGCAUCGGAAACUGGAUAACUUGAGUGCAGAAGAGGGUAGUGGAACUCCAUGUGUAGCGGUGGAAUGCGUAGAUAUAUGGAAGAACACCAGUGGGGAAGGCGGCUACCUGGUCUGCAACUGACGCUGAGACUCGAAAGCAUGGGUAGCGAACAGGAUUAGAUACCCUGGUAG